rnacentral:misc_RNA from 1 species
GGGGCAUUUGGGUCCUCCCUCCUUGGUCUUCCAGUUGUUGUAGCAAGGGCACACAGCUUUAUUCCCAUAAUACCCUGGAGGCACACACAGGCACUUUCUGCAGCAUUUCUGACAGAAGAACAUGCAAGGCUUGUGGUAUUGGGUCUUGCUGCACCUCCUCGAGCAUUGUGAUGGGCAUUGGUAGCUCUUGAGACUCCCUGGCCCAUAGCGCUUUUGAUUGUCAUAGUGGUGACCUCCAUGACCAUGCGAUGCCAUAACCAGGGGUUUGGAGCAUUGAACUGGCAAUGAGGGCCAAGAGGAAGACAGCAAAAAACUUAGCCAUAGCCUUUGCCACAAUGCAAAUAGAAGAGGAAGCGGUGAAGGUGAG